rnacentral:rRNA from 1 species
UACGUAGGUGGCAAGCGAUACUCGGAAUCACUAGGCGUAAAGCGCAGGUAGGCGGUUUGGUAAGUCUUUUGUGAAAGCUCCCGGCUUAACUGGGAGAGGUCAAGGGAAACUACCAGACUAGAGUGUGGUAGGGGAUACUGGAAUUCCUGGUGUAGCGGUGAAAUGCGUAGAUAUCAGGAGGAAUACCUAUGGCGAAAGCAGGUAUCUGGGCCAUCACUGACGCUGAGCUGCGAAAGCUAGGGGAGCAAACAGG